AAAUUAUUCUAUCUUUUUUUUCUCUCUCCUUUUAAAUAUAACACUAGGGCCAGUGUCGUUAUUAUCCUUGUGGAGUAAUAGAAUCAAUACUGCCAAUUCCAGAAAACAUCAGGAAUUUGCUGGACGUUUGAACUCUGUUAAUAACAGAGCUGAACUAUAUCAACAUCUUAAAGAGGAAAAUGGGAUGGAGACAACAGAAAAUGGAAAAGCCAGCCGGCAGUGAAGAGUGACUUGAAGAACUAAAUUUAGUAUAUUGCAAAAAUAUUUUGUGCAGAAUUCGAUAUAAGUACUUUUACAGCAAGAUUGUAUAGUUAUGUUGCCUGGACUGGUUUUUACAUUUUUAAAAUAUUUCAGCUGUCGUUUUUGUACUAAUUAUAAAAUUGGCACAUAAUUCAAAAAUAUACAUUUGAGAUGAUUUGUCCUCCCAAAUUAUACAAGUUUAUUUUAUGGUAUAAAGUGUUCUCUCUGGAAAUGUUUUUAAAAAAAUUCUUAGGCUUCUCUUUGCGAAAUAAAACUAUUAAAAUAUUUGAAAUGC
rnacentral:sRNA from 1 species